UCUUAUGUAUAUGCCUAUAGCGUCAAUGCAUCAGAUACCAUAAGAACUUUGUAGUUAAGUGCACUUGGGCUAGAGUAGUAUUAGGGUGGGUGACCUCUUGAGAAGUCCUAAUGCUUUACAUGCU
rfam:Picea glauca, whole genome shotgun sequence.